UAAUGGGGGCUGUAUGCCUGAAGUGGCC
rnacentral:sRNA from 1 species